CAUGGUGAAACCCCGUCUCUACUAAAAAUACAAAAAAUUAGCUGGGCAUGGUGGUGAGUGCCUGUAAUCCCAGCUACUCAGGAGGCUAAGGCAGGAGAAUUGCCUGGACCCAGGAGGUGGAGGUUUCAGCGAGCCGAGAUAGCACCAUUGCACUCCAGCCUGGGUAACAAGAGCGAAACUCCGUCUCAAAAAAAAAAAGAGGGGGGACAUUAAUGAUCUGUCUUUCUUGUAGGAAGAAAACACCCUGUAUAGAAACCAUUAAAGAAAACACUCUGCUACAGCUCUGUCAAAGUAUUGCAAGUAGAUUAAAUAACUGCUUGGUCUACCAGAGAGCUCUUGGCGCAAUUUGACCACCACUCACCUUAACUUUACUAAGAAGUUUAUCAGAAACAGCAGAAGAGGGUCCCAGAUCCUAUACUCCCAAGCUUCCCACUCAUCACACCCACCAGCAGCUCCAGAUGUCUUCCCCUCUCCAUUACCAAAGCAGUUGCACAGUAAUUUCAUGGAGUGGAUGAAUAUCACCCAGCCGACGGUGUGGACAAACAGAACAAAUUGGAUUAACUAUUCUCAGGAUUUGGGUUACAUAUGAAGAACAUGCAAGAUUGUUGCAGGCACCAUGUAUGACCCUGGUACUAGGCUUCUCAUGUGGAAGCCAGGCAUUAGCUUCGCUCCCUCCCAGAAAACAUGGCAACUUGCACCAUGGUGGGUUGAAUCUGUUGACAAAGAAGAUUCCAAAGAUUGUCUGAAGUCCACAUGAGACACUGUCAGGAGAAAGAAAUGAAAGCACUGAAAAGGGUAAGUUUCCAGUAACUAGACCAACUUUGGAGAAAUUAUUUUAUAUUAAAAAAAGUAACCUCAUUUUGUAGUACUUUUGUAGGGCUGAAAAAAUAACAUAUUUCCUAAGGCAGAAUGGUUAGAAUGCCUCAAAAACGGAGUGAAUAAAUUUGCUGAUUAUAAGUAUUCUGUAACCAGAGGCAUUCAAGUAUGGAAUAUAUGGUUAUUUAGUAAAAGUACUUUAGAAGAAAUUCAAAUGUUGACCACAAGACUGAACUAGGUUCUAUGACACUUUCUUUGUCUUACUUUGAUCUAGGAAAAAAAAAAAAAUACUACAGUGCAAAUGUAUAUGCAAAAAAAGUGGAAGUACAAAACUCCUGAGUAUAUUGUCAGUAUGAAUAAUCCCUCUGCAUUCCUCCACCCUUCUCACUCACCUUAGAUUCUUUGAGCACUAAGGGGAUCUCAGAAAUCAACCAUCUCUUCUUAUGUGUUUCACAGAUAAAGAAAAUUAUACUAAAUGUAAUUAAUUGGGUUUCUCACAAUUUUGUGACUUUGUGACAAGACAACACUCGAAAUGGUGCAUCAUGAUUCUCAACCAUCAUUUUUUUAUCUUGGUUUCUUAUCUAAACCACAGAAUGCAGAAAAAAUAAUUUGAAUGUCUGUCAAGACACAUAGGAGAGAAAGUGGGUUCCUGUAUACCUGAUUACCUGAAUAUCUGGAAUACUCACCUUGUUCUCUCCCACAAUUCUAUUAAGAUGGGCCGUCCUUGGAAGCACGCUGCACCUCUCUUUCCACCCACAUCACACAUUUUGUCAAUGCAGCAAUUAUUUUCCCCUCAGAAUUAUCAGAGGGUCCACAGAAUGCAGGAAACCAUGGAUAUAAAUACACAGUCUAUCAAUAGUCUUUGGUUGCUUUGCUGGUAAUUGAAUGAAAUAUGCUGUAUUAAUUGAGGUUUCUCCAGUCAUGUUGGCACUUAAAAUUAACCAUCACACACACAGAAUUUGCUGAAAACCAAGUUGGUACUCUGGCCCUUGUAAACAGCAACUUUACAUCACUAGACCUCAUUCUGUAUCAGAAAAACACCACGUUUUUACCCUUAAUAUACUGUUUGUUGAGGAAAAUGCCCAGUUGAGUCACUGUGGGGUUCAGUCAGUGCUGAUUAAGUCCUUAUUCUUUAAAAAGAAGCAUAUUUCCUGAGUACUUUUGGGGGAAGUGGGGAGGCUGGGACCAAAGCACAAUCUGUGCUGUUCUCUGUUCUCUUUGUUUCUAAAUUAAAACAGGCUGCUAAGGUGUGCAAGUAUUUGAAUUAUUAUUUUCUAACAUUAAACACUUGAUUUAAAGCAUAUUCCCUUUGAAGGAAGGUAUAAUUUGGGAAUUAUUUCAAGUCUCUAAGUGGUUAGAAACUGGGUUUAGCCAGAUUUCUAGCUGUAAGCGAAAGUCAGCCUCUGAUAAGAAGCUGUUUUACUUUAUUGAUGCAAAGGAGGUAAGUACCCUCUUGGGGGUUUCUCGGUUCAAGAGCAUCCUCAUUGUUAUUUGCAAACUGCAGUGUGCAAUUGUGAAUAUUUUCGGAUACAUUUACCCCCAUAUACCUCCUCGUCAAAAGAAGCUUCCAAGUACCUGGGUGAAGUCUUAACGACAUACUGGUUGUAACAUGGGUUUUGUGAGGCAGGAAAGCUUCCCUCCAUUACCUAUUCAUAUGCAAUAUUGAAUUAUAAAAUAAAGCACAGAACUGGAAUAGAUAGACUUUCCAACAGAGAGACAUGUAGCUGCAUUACAAAGUCAAUUUUAUAUAUGGGUUUCUGUGCUGAAUCAUUUAGCUAUUUAGGAAUGCAUUUCGCAGCUAACUCAUCCUGGCAGGCCCAACGGGAUGCAGUUCCUCUUAAAAUAAAUAUGGAGUCAUCAAACAGACAUCACUGUGACAAUUAACCGCUGGACUUGAAGGAACUCUUGCUUGGCUUUUCAAAGCAGCCAGAACAAAAAGAGAGGCUCCAUGAGUCAGAAGUACAAACUACAUACUGGAACAAUCAUUUGCAAAAAUCAAUCUUGAAUAAACGCACUAUAUUCGUCCUCUUUUUUGUUUAUCACAGUUAAGAAAUGAGAGGUUCCACAUUACUGAAUUUUCCAGGUAACUUGAAACUUACUACUUUAAUAAUCAAAAGAAAGAUAGACAGCAGUGGUAUAGAGGCCUUCCUACAUACAUUACGGAGACCCCGGUUUUCUUAAAUAGGUUAUCAUUUCAUUUUAUAAUUUCUUCCGUUAACUUGACAUCAUCCAUUUGGGAAGCUCUGCAAUAGUUCCAAGGAGGGAUGGUCCCAAUCUAGACCAGGGUGGUUGUGGGGACAGAGAGAAGGGGAUGGAUAUAAAAUAUAUUUCAGAGGUGGUGUUGACAGAACCUACUCUGAUCGUGACAUUUAGACUGAGCGUGAAUGUGAGUAUGAUUCCCUGUUUCUGGCCCAAGUAACUGGAAAGAUAUUGAUGCUAUGCAUAGUGAUGGUGUAUGCAGAAGGAGGAACAGGUUGUGGAGGAAACUAUCAAGCAUUUAAUAAGACCAAUAAUUUAAAACCUAAUGGAGCUCAGAAAUAAAAGUGAAGGAACUCUGGGCCAGGGAAAGAACGUCCACAAAACUUAAAUCUGAACUAUACAUGGACUUUGGCUAGAUCCUCAUUCAGAGCAUGUUGCCUUUUAAUCAACCUUCAGCUAUAAGGUGUGGGAUUACCUGUUGCAUGGUUUUAGCAGGUCCAAAACAGUACAUGAGUAGAGAGAAUGCUAACUGCAACAGACACACUCACAGUGAAAGCAGUGACUUGGAGCCUGAAUGGAAAAUGCAUAAUACAAUAUACAGAAAUGGGUGAUGUUCAUCAUAAAUUUCCCUCUAUUGGGAGAGAAUUAAGUAAACUAGUAUCAUAAAGGCUGAUGGUUCACCACUUUUUAAUACUCAGAAAAAUCCUCUAUGGCCAGUACGAUCACCAGCAUUUUACAGAUCACCCAGUGUUACUUGGAGAGUUCGUGCCACUUCUCAAGAAUCAUAUGCAAUAAGUGGUUAAGUUAGUAUUUUGAUCCACAUGCACCUAACUCCAAAGAGUGGCUCUUUUCGUCUAAGCUCCACAUCGAGGCUAGUGAAUGAAAUUUAUGGAUGAUACCUAUCAGCUCUGUUAAAAACAUAAAUUCUUUUGAACAGUUAGAGCUGUACAUUUGAAACACUUGGCAUCGUGAAGCAGUGAACUCUCUGUUUCUUGAAUGUUUCGGAGACAAGUAAUUUCAUCUGCUCAUUACAUUUUUAAUUAGGAAUCCUAUAUUGUAAAGGAAGAGAAAACAAGUGAUUUUUUUUCAUGGCAACAUUCUAUGAGUAGAAUCCAGGUUCAAAUGCAAUUGUAGAUAGAAAAGUGCUCCAGAUAUUGUAAAGCAAUAUUCACGUCAGCAUUGUUAUGAUUCUCACCAAUGUGCACACAUUGACAGACCCUAUUCUACAAGAGGUGAGUAAUCCACUAGUUAAGUAUUAUAACUAAAUAAUCUUAUACCAUUCCACUCACCCUCAUCUGCCUUAUAAUUUUCCUUUGAUUCUACCUACAUUGAAAUUCAUAUCACUAAACACAUUUCUUUGAAUGACUAGAAAAACAGGAAUUUUCUCCAAAAGACCACUUUUGAAGUGGAUACACAUAACAGGAAUGAGGAUUGUAGGAGCUCAGUAGGUUUCCCUCACUCUUUUGAAUCAUGAUAUUCACUCAGAUGGACCGACCUAAAAGACUAUUUAGUGUUCCCUUUAGGAGGUAGACAUAUAGACAAAUUAUCAUUGAUUGGGAGUGGUGGGAAAAUGUGGCAGGAAAAUAUUUGCAUUAUGAAUGUAUGUUCUCUCUCUGUCUUUUCCAUGUUCUUUGCCCCCAUGAAAGCAGAAAACAAACUCAAAUAACGAAAGGUUUGUGAUAGGAUUUCCUGGAUAAUUAUAGCCAAUUUCUUUUCUCCUAGCAACUUUCACCCAUCCAGGAAAAUCUUUUUUUGUUUUUGUGUAUCCCUCUUAUUUCAAACCCCACUCUUCUAAAAGAGCUUAAGAUUUCGACUAUCAUCAGCCAGGAACUCUCAUCACCAGUCCAUGGUACUUCGUAAUGACUCCAGGACUAUGGCACAGCCUCAGAAAAGUAAUAAAGGGAAGCUCCAAGAAGAUGUAGUUCAAUUUCACAUAGGCCAAAAAGGUAGUUGGUCUAAAAUUGCAAGCCUGAGCAAGAAGAGAGAUAGAUAGGUAGACUCACAUUCACUCCAGAAUCUUAAGCCCUAAAGGACAGGCAGAGAAACUGUAUAGAGGGUCAAAGUGAAAGAGAAACUCUGAUACAGAAA